rnacentral:ncRNA from 1 species
GACCAGGGGAAUCCGACUGUUUAAUUAAAACAAAGCAUGGCCGAAGGCCCGCGGUGGGUAUGAUGUGAUUUCUGCCUAGUGCUCUGAAUGUAAACGGCAGGAGUAACUAUGACUCUCUUAAGGUGGCCACAUGCCUCCGCAUCUAAUUAGUGACAUGCAUGAUUAAACAGUGGUGUCC